UACGUCCACAUCACGUUGAAACACGGGUUCCCGUACGGUCACUGAUGUUAAGCAACGUCGAUCCUGUUCAGUACAUAGAUGGGUGACUGUUUGGGGAUACCAGGUGCUGUAAG